AACGAAGUUCUUGUUUCAGUCCCCCUGCUGCCCAUGCUUCUGCUACAUCUAGAAGAACAAAAGCAAAACGAAGCAAGAGGGAAAGCAGGCUUGAUGUGUGCUGCACUGCUGCUACAUCCAUUCCACUUCAGAAAUUCGGAUGCACCGAAAACCAUUUGUCAGUUCAGCGUCUUCCAACAUAGCUCUCAGAACAGGAGCUUUGACACCCUGCAGAUGAGGGAAACAUGAAGCUCUUACAUAACAGCGAGCUUGCUAUCCUGCAGGGAUGCGAGGCCCUAUCACAUGAAAGAUUCAGAUAACUGUACUCAUAAGAACGCAAGAGUGUGACAGAAUUUCACUGCCAUCGUCUGUCGAAACACGGAGAUCCGCC
rnacentral:lncRNA from 1 species